rnacentral:lncRNA from 1 species
AAUUCCACACUGGCAGCAAUUUUAGACAAGUCAUGUGGAAUGCAGUCUUUUCACUGAUAUGAAAAUCACCUUGUAUGCUGCACAUGUAGUGAAAAACAGAUUUCCAUUGCAAUUUUUCAUCUCUUUGUAGAGCUGCCCAUGGGACUUCAGCAGACAAGAUUUUGUGCCUUCGUCUUGAAUGAAAGACAAAGCUCCUUCUUCUCAUCAUCUGUUGACAUCAGCUCCUGGGAUGUUUUAACGAGCAAAACUGCCUUGGCUCCCCAUAUUUUAGCUUCCUAUCUUUCAUUUGAGAUUAUCUUUGGCAAUUCUAGUAUCAACCUGAAUGAAGGAAUCAUUCCAUUCAGCCACUGAAAUCCGGAAGUGACAAUAUAUAGAAGAUUUUCAGAGGAACGAUUUUAUCCAUGGGCAAAACAGAAGAGAGAGAGAAAUAGAGGGGAAUGUGGUGUUUUAGCAAUUCCUGCUAAUGCCAGUGGCGUAUGUUGCACUAGAAGGAAUAUGUUGUUUGAUGACUAUAGCUGGAAUCCAGUGAAGAGCUG